UACAGAGGGGGCAAGCGUUGUUCGGAAUUACUGGGCGUAAAGGGCGCGUAGGCGGCCCGCUAAGUCGAACGUGAAAUCCCCAGGCUCAACCUGGGAACUGCGUCCGAUACUGGAUGGCUUGAAUCCGGGAGAGGGAUGCAGAAUUCCAGGUGUAGCGGUGAAAUGCGUAGAUAUCUGGAGGAAUACCGGUGGCGAAGGCGGCAUCCUGGACCGGCAUUGACGCUGAGGAGCGAAAGCCAGGGGAGCAAACGGG
rnacentral:rRNA from 1 species